GACAUAGGUGGCGAACGUUAUCCGGAUUUAUUGGGCGUAAAGGAUGCGUAGAUGGUGGAAUAAGUUAUUGGUCAAAGUCAAGCUCAACUUGGCGGAAGCUGGUAAUACUAUUCUACUUGAGGAUAGGAGAGGUUGGCGGAAUUCUGUGUGGAGCGGUGAAAUGCGUUGAUCUACAGAGGAACACCAAAAAAGGCGAAGGCAGCCAACUAUUCUAUCCCUGACAUUGAGGCAUGAAAGCGUGGGGAGCAAACCGG
rnacentral:rRNA from 1 species